rnacentral:tRNA from 1 species
CCCAUAGUGGUCCAGUGGUUAAGACUCUGUACUUUUACUGCAGGGGGCUAGGGUUCAAUCCCUUUUUGGGGA